rnacentral:rRNA from 1 species
UUAAAUAGAAUUGACGGGGCCCGGCACAAGCGGUGGAGUAUGUGGUUUAAUUCGAUGCAACGCGAAGAACCUUACCUGGUCUUGACAUCCCGGAGACCCUUAGGAAACUAGGGGUGCUUCCAUCUGGAAGAAUCUGGAGACAGGUGCUGCAUGGCUGUCGUCAGCUCGUGUCGUGAGAUGUUGGGUUAAGUCCCGCAACGAGCGCAACCCUUGCCUUUAGUUGCCAGCAGUUCGGCUGGGCACUCUAAAGGGACUGCCGGUGUUAAACCGGAGGAAGGUGGGGAUGACGUCAAGUCCUCAUGGCCUUUAUGACCAGGGCUACACACGUACUACAAUGGCCGAUACAAAGGGCAGCGACACUGCGAGGUGAAGCCAAUCCCGUAAAAUCGGUCUCAGUCCGGAUUGGAGUCUGCAACUCGACUCCAUGAAGUUGGAAUCGCUAGUAAUCGUGGAUCAGCAUGCCACGGUGAAUACGUUCCCGGGCCUU